AAGGGAUCAGACAAAGUGUGCUCCGAAGUAGCAGCGUCCGGGGGAGACGUCUUGGCAGAACGAUCGUCUUGCCGGCUGGACUGAGCGGACAAACACCCCGGGGCCAUAUCAUCACCUUUGCCAUUACCAGGAGCAGGUGAGCAGCCGAGAAACGCGGUGGGAGCGAAUGUGUCAGCUGACGAGAGAGCAGUUUUUAAAUGUGAAAGCAUAUUUUAAAGAAAAGAGGAAUUAAAUAUGAAGAACGAACUUUAGAGCUGUUAUUAGCCUGGCUCAAAAGUAAGGGAGUACCUGUGGAAUCACCACGUGCUUUUGAUAUUGUAACUUGGAAAGAAGCAGGAGAAUUACUUUUUGAGCAUGCUUCAAAGGGUGAUUCAAAUGUAAAUUGUGUAUUAACAACUUGGCGCUUGGUUUAUGAGACCUCAAAAGAUUUGCGUGCAGAGAAACAAGUAGGCAGCACCACUCAGAAAAUUCUUUUUGACGCAAGCGUACCGCCUGAAGAACGCUUGCCAGGGAUCGUCUGUAACGAUCCGCCUGCAGAGACGACCGCGGCCAGCCUCGUAACAGCAGGCACUCAGACCGAUCCUAGCGAUGAUGGCCACAAGGAGUCGCGGUCGGAUAAAGAAUCUGACUGUGGGACUGUGGCUUCAUGACAAAGUAACAAGUCACCAAGGUCGAAAAGGGGUAUCAGGCGUUCUUUGCGAAGAAUGAAUGAUGACGGCAGCAGUGAAGCGGAAUACAUUCAAGGGGCUAGAAAGACAAGAGGCAGGAGUUGGAGGUAACGCCACGACAAAAAUAGUGGACCUACGUGGAUCCAGGCAAAAUGGGUGAAACCGGCAGUAGAAAAGGAACCUUCGUCAGAUGGAUCAUCUUUGGAGCAGCAAUCACCGCGACAGCGACAGCAGGACCAUGGACCAUCCAAACAAGACAAAGCUUAUGGGUGUCUUUUGCAAACUUAACAGGGCAAACAUUGUGUCUGUCAUUAGCCACACCCGGAGAUCAAUUCAGAACAUGUCUUAUUGGGAAGGCGGUGAAGGACUUUAAAGAUUUUUGGGAGUAUGUGAAUGACGCUAGAGUCUUAAAUAACGUGCGAUAUGCUAGCGACAUUCAACAGAUCAUUCAGGCAUUCAAUCGCAUUGGGCUAGACCCUGAAGAAUUAAACAUUCUUGCAUCAGGAGGAAAUAAUAGUUGUGUGAGAUUUAGUAAGAGAGGAAGAGGCAAAGUCACAGCGGAAUCAUUGGGGUUAGUGACUCAAUUUCUCAGCACAAGGAUCGGGACAGAAAGAGUUAGGGCAUGGUUGGACGAUUCAGACAUGCAAGUUGUAGGCCCACGUAAUCCUAUAUAUCAGAACACAUCUUGGUGGUGCGGAGGACAAAUUGAAAUAGUUGAAUCAAAGUUAAUUGACAAACCAAGGAUGUGACCACCAGGAAUAUUUUUGAUUUGUGGUGAUAAAGCAUGGCCUGGAGUCCCAGCCAAACCAACGGGAGGACCUUGUAUGUUAGGAAGAUUAACUAUGUUAGCCCCAUCCAUGAUGCAGUUAUUAAAACAAACAAAACAAAGGCAAAAAAGAGAUUUAGGAUAUCAGCAAGGUUGUAAUUCGAAGGUGGUUAAUUGGGGAAAAGCAGUAAGAGUAAGAGUAUUUGUUUGCUCCAAAUGUAGGUAUAGGUAAAGCUUUAGGUAGCAUAGAUAAGUUGUCAUGUUGGGUGGUGAAGCAAACGAAUUCAACCUCAGCUUUAAUAUCAGAAUUAGCAGUAGAUGUAAAUUCAGUAAGGCACGCAACGCUUCAGAAUAGAGCAGCCAUAGAUUUUUUUAUUGUUAGCUCAAGGGCAUGGAUGUAAGGAUUUUGAAGGAAUGUGUUGUAUGAACUUGUCAGAUCAUUUGGAGUCCAUUCACAACCAAUUAAGACAAUUAAAUGAUUUGACCAAAUAUUUGAAGAGUAAAAAGGACCCAGAAUGGUUAAGAGGGUUGUUAUCUGGAUGGAGGAUCACGGGAUGGUUACAAAAAGUAAUUCUCCGGGAAGGAAUGGUUUUAUUGGUGAUUUUAAUUGUUGUUAUGAUAUUACCUUUUUUUUUUUUUUUGCAGUGUAUUCAAGGGAUGAUUCAAU